CAGCCGCCGCGGGAAUACGGAGGGAGCUAGCGUUGUUCGGAAUUACUGGGCGUAAAGCGCACGUAGGCGGUUAUUCAAGUCAGAGGUGAAAGCCCGGGGCUCAACCCCGGAACUGCCUUUGAAACUAGAUGACUAGAAUCUUGGAGAGGUCAGUGGAAUUCCGAGUGUAGAGGUGAAAUUCGUAGAUAUUCGGAAGAACACCAGUGGCGAAGGCGACUGACUGGACAAGUAUUGACGCUGAGGUGCGAAAGCGUGGGGAGCAAACAGGAUUAGAUACCCCUGUAGUCCCUGUCUCUUAUAC
rnacentral:rRNA from 1 species